GGGGACGCACAGAUUCGACGUCUUUGGCUCUUUAAAAACUGCAAGUCGCGUACGCAAACUAUUCGCGUUAAACAUGUUUGCAAAUAACACGGCAAUAAACUUGUCCGUGAUGCCGAAGCAAUUGCUUUGGGAGUUAUGAAAGGGUUAAAUCCUUUCGUUGCCCAACCAGCAUACGCUUAAGCGUCUACUUUAAGGUAAUCUCUAUCUGACGGAAUCCUUUUGGUAUGUACAAAGUCGGGUUGCGAUAACUUAAGUUUGGUUUAAGCUUAAAUUAUCUAAGAUUAUUAAACCGAGUAUUAGCUUCCUGCUAGUAGGUUACAUCUAAUACUUAAAAAUAUACUAGAUAAACUUGUAGAUGUUUUUUAAAAAUCAAAUUCGCACAGGGCUCAAAGCCCUCGUCUCCACCA
rnacentral:tmRNA from 1 species